UAAGAUUUCAAAACAUUCAUGUAUUUAUAACUACGUGGCAAGCAAAGCAUAUCGCCUUGUAUAGAUAGCUUAAACCUGCUAAACAGCUGUGAAGACCAGCGUAUCGUUAUAUAACAAGAUGUCGGAUAAAGCCAAAGAUGCGGACAAAGAAUAUAUGGACAAAUAUGACGACUACAACAUAGAGCAGGACAAGUACGUGGGGUCGAGUCACAGCGGCAAGGGCCGCUCGAAGAAGGAGGCCUCACAAAACCAUCACGAGGACCCCAGCGGACACACGCGAAAAAAUGUCACUAAGCUUAUGAACAACGCUGCCAAUCAGAAAAAGUAAAUGCGGAUGACUUCCACGAGUGAGAUGACUGCCUGGACAUUGGACUAUUCUAUAUUGGAUCUGUGAUAAGGCCUUCCUCAGGACAUUGCCUUUAAAAUGUGAGGACGACCAGGGACAUUGGGCGGCCAGUUUACUGACCGCUCCAGGCGUAGGGAAUAUUGUACUGAAUCGAAAUCGACUUAUACAUCUGAAAGUGCUACUUAUUUAAAAGUGUGUUCACUUAGGUUAACAUUCUGCUUACUUAUUUACACCAACUAUUGACUUAACCACGUUUUAUUUGUUUGUACGUUUCGAGUCCCUGUGAUCAUUCACGUUUUCAGUUUUGUGGUGGUGUUACAUUGAAGAUGCUCAUAACUUAUUUUGCACAUUGUUUACUGUUUGUUAUUCUUGUGUAUCGGACAGAAUAUGCAAUAAACAUGUCCAAUUA